GACGGAGGGUGCAAGCGUUGUUCGGAUUGACUGGGCGUAAAGGGCGUGUAGGCGGUCGGCCAAGUCUGAUGUGAAAGCCCGAGGCUCAGCCUCGGAAGUGCGUCGGAAACUAGUCGGCUGGAGCGCGAUAGAGGAGGGUGGAAUUCCUGGUGUAGCGGUGAAAUGCGUAGAUAUCGGGAGGAACACCGGCGGCGAAGGCGGCCCUCUGGAUCGUUGCUGACGCUGAUACGCGAAAGCGUGGGGAGCAAACAGG
rnacentral:rRNA from 1 species